rnacentral:rRNA from 1 species
AUGAGUUAAGUAUAAACCCCUUUACAAGUAUCAAUUGGAGGGCAAGUCUGGUGCCAGCAGCCGCGGUAAUUCCAGCUCCAAUAGCGUAUAUUAAAGUUGUUGCAGUUAAAAAGCUCGUAGUUGGAUUUCUGUUAAUAAUUUAUAUAAUAUUUUAACGAUGUUAUGUAAUAUUAACAUAAUUCAUAUUACUAUAUUAUUUUAGUAUAUGAAAUUUUACUUUGAGAAAAUUAGAGUGCUUAAAGCAGGCAUUUGCCUUGAAUACUCCAGCAUGGAAUAAUAUAAAAGAUUUUUAUCUUUUUUAUUGGUUCUAAGAUAAAAAUAAUGAUUAAUAGGGACAGUUGGGGGCAUUUGUAUUUAACAGUCAGAGGUGAAAUUCUUAGAUUUGUUAAAGACAAACUAGUGCGAAAGCAUUUGCCAAGGAUGUUUUCAUUAAUCAAGAACGAAAGUUAGGGGAUCGAAGACGAUCAGAUACCGUCGUAGU